rnacentral:rRNA from 1 species
AACGCUGGCGGCGUGCUUAACACAUGCAAGUCGAACGAAAAGAGGGGAAGAGCUUGCUCUUUUCAGAAUUGAGUGGCAAACGGGUGAGUAACACGUAAACAACCUGCCUUCAGGAUGGGGACAACAGACGGAAACGACUGCUAAUACCGAAUAAGUUCCAAGAGCCGCAUGGCCCAUGGAAGAAAAGGUGGCCUCUACCUGUAAGCUAUCGCCUGAAGGAGGGGAUUGCGUCUGAUUAGCUAGUUGGAGGGGUAACGGCCCACCAAGGCGAUGAUCAGUAGCCGGUCUGAGAGGAUGAACGGCCACAUUGGGACUGAGACACGGCCCAUACUCCUACGGGAGGCAGCAGUAGGGAAUUUUGCGCAAUGGGCGAAAGCCUGACGCAGCAACGCCGCGUGUGUGAUGACGCCCUUCGGGGUGUAAAACACUGUCAGUAGGGACGAAUUUUGACGGUACCUACAGAGGAAGCACCGGCUAACUCCGUG